GAACGCUUCAGCACUUUCCUAAUUUCUCACAAAAGCGGUGAAUGAUUCACCAUCUUUCACUUAUUUACUAUUUCUAUAAUCCUAACAACCACAUAAAUACUUCAACAAAUCACAUAUAAUCUUAACAACCUUAAAAUUCUAAUAAUCUAUCCAUACAAUCCUAACAAUCAAAAAUAUUCUAAUAAUCUAUCCAUACAAUCCUAAUAAUCAAACAUCACAUAUAAUCUUAACAACUUGAAAAACCUAAUAAUCUAUCUAUACAAUCCUAACAAUCAAAAAAAUCCUAAUAAUCUAUCCAUACAAUCCUAACAAUCAAACAAAAAUUCUAAUACUCCACACACAAUCCUAACAACCUCACUUUUUUAUUUCUGUAUAAUCUACGUACAAUUUUAACAAACUCUUUUUUUUUUCCCAAAAAAUUAUGAAAACAACGGUGAAUCGUUCACAGUUUUAAU
rnacentral:lncRNA from 1 species